AAAAGGUUUGGUCCUGGCCUUUUUAUUGACGCUUAGUAAACUUACACAUGCAAACAUCUUUGCCCCGGUGAGAAUGCCCUCUAUAUCAACCAUGAUCAAAAGGAGCAGGUAUCAAGCUCACUACUCACAGUUGCUCAUGACGCCUUGCUCAACCACACCCCCACGGGAUACAGCAGUGAUUAAGAUUAAGCUCAUGAACGAAAGUUCGACUAAGUUAUACUAAUGUUAGGGUUGGUAAAUUUCGUGCCAGCCACCGCGGUCAUACGAUUAACCCUAGUCAAUAAAACACGGCGUAAAGCGUGAUUAAAAUAAAAAUCUAAUAAGACUAAGCCUAAACUAAGCUGUAAAAAGCCCUAGUUACAACAAAAAUAAUUAAACGAAAGUAGUCUUAGAACCUUUGAACUCACGAUAGCUAAGACCCAAACUGGGAUUAGAUACCCCACUAUGCUUAGCCCUAAACACAGAUAUUCAACUAACAAGACUAUUCGCCAGAGUACUACUAGCCACAGCUUAAAACUCAAAGGACUUGGCGGUGCUUUACAUCCCUCUAGAGGAGCCUGUUCUAUAAUCGAUAAACCCCGAUAUACCUUACCACCCUUUGCAAUUAUCAGCCUAUAUACCGCCAUCUUCAGCAAACCUUAACAAAGCCUCAUAGUAAGCGCAAUAAUAAAACAUAAAUACGUUAGGUCAAGGUGUAGCCUAUAGGGUGGAAAGUAAUGGGCUACAUUUUCUAUUUACUAGAACACUCAUCACGAUAGCUUUUAUGAAACUUAAAAGCCAAAGGCGGAUUUAGUAGUAAGUUAGAAAUAGAGAGUCUAACUGAAUUGGGCAAUAAAGCACGCACACACCGCCCGUCACCCUCUUCAAGUUCUUCCAAUUAAGCAAAUACUACUUAAUAUGGCCCUCUUAAUAGUACAAGAAGAGACAAGUCGUAACAAGGUAAGCAUACUGGAAAGUGUGCUUGGAACAA
rnacentral:ncRNA from 1 species